GUCUGUGGCCAUGCCACCCUGAACAAGCCUGAUCCCGUCUGAUCUUGGAAGUUGAGCAAUGUCAGGCCUGGUUAGUACUUGGAUGGGAGACAACCUAGGAAGACCUAGGUGCUGUAGGUG
rnacentral:rRNA from 1 species